AUGAACGCUGGCGGCGUGCCUAAUACAUGCAAGUCGAGCGAGCAGAUAAGGAGCUUGCUCCUUUGACGUUAGCGGCGGACGGGUGAGUAACACGUGGGUAACCUACCUAUAAGACUGGGAUAACUUCGGGAAACCGGAGCUAAUACCGGAUAAUAUUUCGAACCGCAUGGUUCGAUAGUGAAAGAUGGUUUUGCUAUCACUUAUAGAUGGACCCGCGCCGUAUUAGCUAGUUGGUAAGGUAACGGCUUACCAAGGCGACGAUACGUAGCCGACCUGAGAGGGUGAUCGGCCACACUGGAACUGAGACACGGUCCAGACUCCUACGGGAGGCAGCAGUAGGGAAUCUUCCGCAAUGGGCGAAAGCCUGACGGAGCAACGCCGCGUGAGUGAUGAAGGUCUUCGGAUCGUAAAACUCUGUUAUUAGGGAAGAACAUACGUGUAAGUAACUGUGCACGUCUUGACGGUACCUAAUCAGAAAGCCACGGCUAACUACGUGCCAGCAGCCGCGGUAAUACGUAGGUGGCAAGCGUUAUCCGGAAUUAUUGGGCGUAAAGCGCGCGUAGGCGGUUUUUUAAGUCUGAUGUGAAAGCCCACGGCUCAACCGUGGAGGGUCAUUGGAAACUGGAAAACUUGAGUGCAGAAGAGGAAAGUGGAAUUCCAUGUGUAGCGGUGAAAUGCGCAGAGAUAUGGAGGAACACCAGUGGCGAAGGCGACUUUCUGGUCUGUAACUGACGCUGAUGUGCGAAAGCGUGGGGAUCAAACAGGAUUAGAUACCCUGGUAGUCCACGCCGUAAACGAUGAGUGCUAAGUGUUAGGGGGUUUCCGCCCCUUAGUGCUGCAGCUAACGCAUUAAGCACUCCGCCUGGGGAGUACGACCGCAAGGUUGAAACUCAAAGGAAUUGACGGGGACCCGCACAAGCGGUGGAGCAUGUGGUUUAAUUCGAAGCAACGCGAAGAACCUUACCAAAUCUUGACAUCCUUUGACAACUCUAGAGAUAGAGUUUUCCCCUUCGGGGGACAAAGUGACAGGUGGUGCAUGGUUGUCGUCAGCUCGUGUCGUGAGAUGUUGGGUUAAGUCCCGCAACGAGCGCAACCCUUAAGCUUAGUUGCCAUCAUUAAGUUGGGCACUCUAAGUUGACUGCCGGUGACAAACCGGAGGAAGGUGGGGAUGACGUCAAAUCAUCAUGCCCCUUAUGAUUUGGGCUACACACGUGCUACAAUGGACAAUACAAAGGGUAGCGAAACCGCGAGGUCAAGCAAAUCCCAUAAAGUUGUUCUCAGUUCGGAUUGUAGUCUGCAACUCGACUACAUGAAGCUGGAAUCGCUAGUAAUCGUAGAUCAGCAUGCUACGGUGAAUACGUUCCCGGGUCUUGUACACACCGCCCGUCACACCACGAGAGUUUGUAACACCCGAAGCCGGUGGAGUAACCAUUUGGAGCUAGCCGUCGAAGGUGGGACAAAUGAUUGGGGUGA
rnacentral:rRNA from 1 species